CAGGCUCCGAGCCUGUCAGCACAGAGCCCGAUGUGGGGCUCGAACCCACGAACCGUGAGAUCAUGCCUUGAGCCGAAGUCGGACGCUUAACCGACUGAGCCACGCAGGUGCCCCUCGGUGGCAUCUUUUGGUGGCCUUUCCCACCAGUAGUCCUCAGGGGGGAACCAUGUAAACGCAUCAGAGACUCAUAAUCUUGAGUCUGAAAAGGGGGUAUUGAGGUAUUGGGGUGCUGAUCCCCUUUCCUCUCAAUUACAUAUUUAGUAAGUAAAUGGGAUUCCAUUGACUCUGAUUCUAAUCCCAAGGAUUUCUCAUGAGUCACACAAAACCUGAACCCGCCUGUGGAAAUUCAAGCAACUUUUGCUUAUUCCUUACAGAUGACUUUGAAUCAUUUGUAGCAAUUGCUCAAUUGGGAAGCUUUAAAUGAAAACAUAAACUUUCUCAGCUUAAGUCUGUGUUUCAUCCAGUGACAGUUUCGUUGUUUUGUUACCUCUUUCCCCCCACCCUUCCUUGAGAGCAGGAAAGAUUUUCUCCCCCAUUAUCACAUGCACAGUGUCCAACACAGAACUGGCACAUAAUAGAAGUUAAACAAAUGUUGGCUGGAUGGAUGAAGGCAUAAAUGGAUGGCUGGAGGGACAGAUGACAGAUGGAUGAAUGGCAAGACAGACCCAUAGAUCUGUGGCCAGCUAGGUGGACAAGGCCACAGCAUUGACAGUGCUGAACUGUGAUACAGUUGUUAGCUACUUUCUCAUGAGGACGUUGGUGGACUGAAUGUUUGCUGAGCUAACCCGGCAGAAAAUCUUAGCUAUUGACUGGUUUUGAAAAAGACAUGUAAGUAAGAUCUUUACUUAUGCAUCAGCUAGUUGCUUUUCCCUGCUGCCAUUUUGUUGGCUUAAUUUUUCAGCAAUGAUACGCAUGUCAAAUAGAUAUGAUUAACAUCCUUUGAAGGACUCCUGGCCCGGAAGCCACAGAACUGUCCAGACUAGAGUCUGUGCCAUGGAGCUGGCACCUUUUCGGCCUCCAGCAUGCCUCAACACCCUGUAAGAGGUGUCCCUGUGCUUCCGCACCAACUCAGAGUUCCCAGACCAAAGAACACAAUUUCUGCCCCUCCAGGGACACCCUCCCCAUCAGGAGGGGCAGAGAGCUUGCAAGAGUGAGCAGACUGGACAGACAGUCCACCGGGAGGGCUGUGGGUAAUGCUUCACGUUCCUGUUAAUAGUGGACUGGGACAGCAAACCUGUUAGAAGAAGCGCCCUCUGUUCCUGCUGUUGUCCCGCUAACCUCCAUUAGACCUGCCAGUCAAGCCUUUGUCUGCUCUGCUCUCCACCCUGAGUCUGACAUCCCUCUGGCAGGAGGGCACUGGCCAGCUGCCCUAUGGUUAUUCCUGCUCUGCCACCGCCCCCACUCCCCGACCUGGCUUCUUGUUACUCAGGUCUAUCUCCGGCCCACAUCCUGCUCAGUUCUGCCUAAGGCCCAGCGUAGGAUUGGUCGGUUCUGAUAGAAUGUUCUGCAUAGUAGCAGGCUGAAGUGUUCCUGAUGAUAAUUCCAUCUCUUGAUUCCGUUUCCAUCCCCUGGGGCAAUACUGAAGACUCCCAUCUUCUGCAUGAGGCUCCUUCAGGGUUUUGAAGACAACUAACGUGUCCCCUUAAGACUUCCCUCAAAGCUGACAGCUCCAGUUCUGGCAACAGUUGCCCCGAGUUUCGCUUUCCAGACCUUCAGCAUUCUAGACAUUUUGUGGCAUGACCAAUGUACUCUGGAGAAGUCUUUUAGAAGACUGACCAACUGUCCCAGAUUGGAGAAGACUAAGGAGAUACGACAGGUUAAUCUCUGGAAUCCCCACGUGCCCAAAUCAAUUUGUUUCUGGGACUACCAUAACAAAGCACCACAAACUUGGUGGCUUCGAACAAUAAAAAGGUAUCCUCUCACAGUU